CUUUUUCCAAAUCAAUCACCAGAAGCAGACACCCGUGGUGGUGAUUGGCUGGUUGCCUUAGCUGAUUGACGCUGAAAUCGACGUAGUAGAUGCCCAUGUUUGUAAGGGAGUGGUUUAGUGGCUGGAAGUUAGUGUUCCUCUACAUCUCAAAGGCAAGUAAGUGUGCUUCCCUCUCGGCCUCAUUGAGAUGAUGUCAUUGACCCUCACCUGUGUCCUGCUCAGCCAAGAUCUGCAUAAGAUUGGGAUUCAGGAGCAUUUUGGUGCUGUUCAGAGCAAGAACUGAUUUUAAAGUUCCUUUAAAAAGAAACACAUAAGAUUUACCCAGCAGAGGCAUCACGCCUAGGUCUCAGUGUAUGAAGUGUACUCACACGUGGGAUUGCUGUAACAGGUCGUCGCGUGUAGAUAACUAAGGCUUUGGAGCAUCUGCAGGAGAGAGUGUUCUCUAGGGCUUGAAUAUUGAAUUAUGUUCUUGGAGAUUUUAUCUUCACUUGCAUACAAUUCCCCUCUGCGGUUUUGUCUACUUUGACAGCAACCAGGGGCCUCCUUGGUCGUUGAUAAGAGGGUCACACGCUCCUCAUAAAGGGGUUUUAUGGACUCCCUCAGGUGGAGAACCUCUGCAAACACAGGCAGGGUGGGAGAAGACUGCUAGCCACUUGUACCUUCCCAGUCCCUCCUCAUCCGUCUUUCGUUGCCUUUCUGGCUUCUGUUUCCUGGCACAGUACCAUUUUGAGUUUGUGCCACAGUCUGGAGCAAAACAUUGCCUGACCCAUUCUGUAUACUUCAGAAUCUUAGAGAAGUUCCUCUGCAACAAAUGUUUUCAUCUUGAAAGUCCCAGUAGAAUGGAGCCACUUCUGAAAUAAUGUGUUAAAUCAUCUGUAUAUUAUAUAUAUAUAUAUAUAUAUGUAGAGAAAAUCUAAUUUUUUCCCCCUUUCCCAUGAAGAAUCUUGGUUUUUUUAUAUCACCUGUCUCCCUGGGACUCUCUCAAGUGCGCGUUAAUAUGGGUUGGUGCCUCUGCUUUCCAUGUUUGAGGGACAUUGCAACCCCAAGCAGGGUCAUGUGUGGCAGUUGCUGAGCAGGGACAAGGAGGAAGGUUUUUGUGCCUACCCUGCGGCUGCCUCAGCUCGGCUUUGCCGAUCACACGUGGCUCUUGGAAAGGAAGUCCUGGUCUUUUUCCUGCCUCAGUUUCCUUCCCUAGGAGGCGUACGGGUAGAAAGUCAAGAGGGUGAUUUCUAGCUUCCUUAUGUCCCAGCUCAGGCUAAAUCCCAAAAACGUUUCCUUCCAAGGAUGAGAGCUAAGAGCGCUCGUGCUCUGUGGGAGCUGCUCCUGCUGGCACUGGCACCCUCCCUUUUUCUUUAUUAGUUCUAGUUUCCUGUUCAGAAAUGUAGCCCUUGUGCAACCCACCCUUGGUUGAGGGUCAUAAAUUGAGGUGCCUUCCUUGUGUACUUUUUGUUAGUGUUUUUGUUUUUGUUCCUUAACUGUUGAGCCUCAGCCAGUGUGGGUCCUUGGGGAAAAUAACCAUUCCAGAGGAAGCUAUCCCUCCAGGGAAAUUGGAUUUUACUGGGUAAAUUAGUAUUUUCAGUCCGUUCCCACUGACUCUCCUUCCUUAGAUAAAAUGAUCAAAGAUUGAGCACUAGGGAAUUUCCUCCUAAGAAGGCUUCCCCAGCACAAGGGGUUACUCCAGGGAGGCCCAUAAAAUGGGCGCCGUCUCGGAGGCUUUGGAUAGAAUGGAAAUUUCCCAAGGAACCUCUGUGCUUUCCCCUUUCCCUCUAUCUGCACUACAUUUCUAGCUUGAUUCCCAGAUCCCUGCUAAUGGAAGAAGCUUAGAAGUCCUGAAGAUGGAAUAAAGUCACAUGAAAGCAAAAUAAGACUAUAUAUAUAUUUUCAGUUUUUUUGCCUUAUUGCUUUUUUUCAAAAAAAAAAAACUACUAAAUUAAAUAAUUUUUAAAAAGC
rnacentral:lncRNA from 1 species